CCUACGGGCGGCAGCAGUGAGGAAUAUUGGUCAAUGGACGAGAGUCUGAACCAGCCAAGUAGCGUGAAGGAUGACUGCCCUAUGGGUUGUAAACUUCUUUUAUAAAGGAAUAAAACGAGGCACGUGUGCCUUUUUGCAUGUACUUUAUGAAUAAGGAUCGGCUAACUCCGUGCCAGCAGCCGCGGUAAUACGGAGGAUCCGAGCGUUAUCCGGAUUUAUUGGGUUUAAAGGGAGCGUAGAUGGGUUGUUAAGUCAGUUGUGAAAGUUUGCGGCACAACCGUAAAAUUGCAAUUGAUACUGGCAGUCGUGAGUACAGUUGAGGUAGGCGGAAUUCGUGGUGUAGCGGUGAAAUGCUUAUAUAUCACGAAGAACCCCGAUUGCGAAGGCAGCUUACUAAACUGUGACUGACAUUGAUGCUCGAAAGUGUGGGUAUCAAACAGGAUUAGAUACCCGGGUAGUC
rnacentral:rRNA from 1 species